CAGGAAAUAGUUUAACUAAAAUUUUAAUUUUGGAGAUUAAUGAUAAAGGAAUCUUUUUUCUUGA
rnacentral:tRNA from 1 species